AUUGAACGCUGGCGGCAGGCCUAACACAUGCAAGUCGAGCGGUAACACAGGGAGCUUGCUCCCGGGUGGCGAGCGGCGGACGGGUGAGUAAUGUCUGGGAAACUGCCUGAUGGAGGGGGAUAACUACUGGAAACGGUAGCUAAUACCGCAUAACGUCGCAAGACCAAAGAGGGGGACCUUCGGGCCUCUUGCCAUCAGAUGUGCCCAGAUGGGAUUAGCUAGUAGGUGGGGUAACGGCUCACCUAGGCGACGAUCCCUAGCUGGUCUGAGAGGAUGACCAGCACGAUGAAACUGAGACACGGUCCAGACUCCUCCGGGAGGCAGCAGUGGGGAAUAUUGCACAAGGGGCGCAAGCCUGAUGCAGCCAUGCCGCGUGUAUGAAGAAGGCCUUCGGGUUGUGAAGUACUUUCAGCGGGGAGGAAGGUGCUGAGGUUAAUAACCUCAGCAAUUGACGUUACCCGCAGAAGAAGCACCGGCUAACUCCGUGCCAGCCGCCGCAGUAA
rnacentral:rRNA from 1 species